rnacentral:piRNA from 1 species
GCAUGAGAUUCUCGACACGAACG